GAAGAAUCGGCUGGAAAAAACACUCGGAAAUAGCUCCAUGUGUCGGCUCAUGGGAUCGGCUACGAAACCUUGAAGUGGCGCGAGUGAUCACGCGCGGCACCAGACGGUAGGAUAACUCUGGGGAGAGGCCGGUCGACAACUCUUCUUCCUUCGAGAACUGGCGGUGUAGAUUAACUCCCUCUGAAUUGUUGCCUAGAGGCUUAAACCUAGCAACCCUAACUUUGUUUGUUGGUAAUCCCUACGCCAAUAAUAGAUGGCAGUGCUCUGAUACCAUGUUGAGGAGGAUUU
rnacentral:misc_RNA from 1 species